rnacentral:lncRNA from 1 species
UCUCAAAGCAAUUAAUUGGACUAACAAUCUCUACUUGGACAGCCUUAUUAAAACAUACUAAUUGCAAAAACUAGUGAGAGCUCACUCAUUACAAGAGUAUGGGGUAGCAGAUUAAGUUGAAUGAAUUAAUCUUGGCACUCUUUGUUCCUCUGUGAACAUGUAAGUAAACAAAACUCAAACUGAGCAGAGAACCUGUCUCACUUAAGCAAGUGUAUUAAUUAUUUGUGGGAUAUCACUGGGAAAAAACAAACAACAAAUCAAAUCCACGCUACUGAGGGGUGUGGAACCAAAUCUGACUGAGGAUUUUUUCCUAGGUUCCUUUUAUUCAAAGAAGGAGUUCAACUACAAAAGUGUAUUUUCUGAAUUAGGUAAAUUGCUGAAACUUCUCUCAUGUUUGAAGAAACUGGUAUUUGUUAUCAAUGAGGAAAAUGAGAACAGGUCAUGAUGUUCAAUAUCUCCCUGUCACUGAAAAACAAGCUUCUGGAACUUGGACUAAGAGAUUUUUGUCAUGAAACAAAAAUUACUACUUUGGCUUGCUGGAAAUAAUUCUGGAUCAAGACAAGGAUUUAUGCAGAAUAAAAGCCACAAAAGAAAGGAAGAACCUGCUUGUAUCUUCUCCUCACACACCUGCUAAGAAAGCAAAUCCUGCUUUAGUCAUUGAUGCCACUUUGGGCAUUCUGCUGUAGUUGCACAGGAGUGUCUAGUGGAGCCUUCCACUUAAAUGACUGUUCUACUUUUCCUUUGGAACCAAAGAACCACAGAAAUUAAUGGGAACACACAUUGGAAGCAAGAGGUAUUCCAGACCUACUAACAAAAGCAGCAUAAUGAAAACUGAAGACCUUGAAUAACAAUAAAAUAACCGAGUUGGUAAAAACCCA